GGUGACCAUGCUGAGCAGAUAGGCAGGACUGGGAAUUUGCUCUCCUUCUGGGACGGGGCUAUACAGUGAGCUCCUCAUCCAGUAUGACCCGAUGGCUGGGGAUCCAAUCAGGUGCUCUGGACUGGUGGAUGCCUUUCCUCUAAGUAGUGACUCAAGAAGCCGGACUUCUUCCAUCUUGUGGUUUCGUCGUCUUCAAGUAUGGCACCCAGACAUAGCCGAGAUCCCCUUCCUGAGCUGGCAGAAAGAGGAAACGCAUGAAGGACCUUGUGUGGGAGGCUUUGUAGGUCAGUCACUUCCACUCACAAGUCAUUGACUAGAGCUUAGUUUAGUGGCCACACCCAACUGUAAGAAAGUUUGGAAAACAGUCUAGCUGUGUUCUGGGGAAGAAGAAGAAAUCGAUUUGGGAAGGGUUAGCCAGUGUCUGGCAAAGCUGUGGUACUUUAAAAUGACAUCACAUUGCUGUGGCAGUGAUAAUAAACUCCGUGGCUGAUGUGAGAGUUUAUACAGGAAUCCUCCAAAGAAAUACAUUUAUUUGUUUCAAACUAAGAGAUUUUGAAUAACUGCACUUUGAACUGUCCGAGGUGAUGUGUACACUUUUGGAAGACGAUAUGGCAAAGGUCCCAGCUCUCUUGGAGAAUUGUUUCAUCCGGGGAGAGAAGUGAUGCAAACAGAAGUCAGUUCUAUCGUCAACCUUAUGUUGGGUCUCUGGCAUUCAGACAGCUCUGGUUUCCAUCCAGACCCAAGGAAUGGUCAUGUUUGAAAGUGACUCAUCCUGUCUAAUAAUGCUUGGCUACUGAGACACUAGCUAUGUAGGCAGUAGGAAGUAAAGGCUUCCAAAAAAUUCUGUUUUUUUGUAGUGGAUCCCAUAUUCUUUGGUUUUCUCAACAGAAUACCGUCAGUUUCGUAUAUAUAUAAAUGGAAGUGGCAUGGGUACAUUUAAAAUAACACAUCUGGCUGAAUCAUUAAUAUUUAGACUCUAAUCAUCAAAGGGUUUUAUACUUAUUUAAAAUAUGUGCUUAAUUCUAGAAGUCAUUAUUAUUACUGUUAAGCCCAUUAUGUUUACAACUCCAUGUCUCUGUUUUGCUCCAGUUGUCUUCUUGUCCUUUCUUUUUCCUUUUUUUUUUUCUCUUUCUUGUUGUGUUCCUUAACCUCUGCCCCUUAAACUAAUAAAUUAAGUUCCCAGUA